rnacentral:piRNA from 1 species
UGCCUCUGGAACAUGCUUACACAGA